AUUGUAACCUUGGGGUUGGCUCUUGUCUAUGUUUCUUGGAACAGGACGUCACAGAGGGUGAGAAUCCCGUGCGAUGAGAUGCCCAAUCCUAUGUAAGGUGCUUUCGAAGAGUCGAGUUGUUUGGGAAUGCAGCUCUAAGUGGGUGGUAAAUUCCAUCUAAAGCUAAAUAUUGGCGAGAGACCGAUAGCGAACAAGUACAGUGAUGGAAAGAUGAAAAGAACUUUGAAAAGAGAGUGAAAAAGUACGUGAAAUUGUUGAAAGGGAAGGGUUUGAGAUCAGACUCGAUAUUUUGUGAGCCUUGCCUUCGUGGCGGGGUGACCCGCAGCUUAUCGGGCCAGCAUCGGUUUGGGCGGUAGGAUAAUGGCGUAGGAAUGUGACUUUGCUUCGGUGAAGUGUUAUAGCCUGCGUUGAUGCUGCCUGCCUAGACCGAGGACUGCGAUUUUAUCAAGGAUGCUGGCAUAAUGAUCCCAAACCGC
rnacentral:rRNA from 1 species